AUGAACGCUGGCGGCGUGCCUAAUACAUGCAAGUCGAGCGAACAGACGCGGAGCUUGCUCCUCUGACGUUAGCGGCGGACGGGUGAGUAACACGUGGAUAACCUACCUAUAAGACUGGGAUAACUUCGGGAAACCGGAGCUAAUACCGGAUAAUAUAUUGAACCGCAUGGUUCAAUAGUGAAAGACGGUUUUGCUGUCACUUAUAGAUGGAUCCGCGCCGCAUUAGCUAGUUGGUAAGGUAACGGCUUACCAAGGCAACGAUGCGUAGCCGACCUGAGAGGGUGAUCGGCCACACUGGAACUGAGACACGGUCCAGACUCCUACGGGAGGCAGCAGUAGGGAAUCUUCCGCAAUGGGCGAAAGCAUGACGGAGCAACGCCGCGUGAGUGAUGAAGGUCUUCGGAUCGUAAAACUCUGUUAUUAGGGAAGAACAAAUGUGUAAGUAACUAUGCACGUCUUGACGGUACCUAAUCAGAAAGCCACGGCUAACUACGUG
rnacentral:rRNA from 1 species